rnacentral:rRNA from 1 species
ACGACGCUGCGGCGUGGAUUAGGCAUGCAAGUCGAACGGUAGGAUACCUUCGGGUAUCUGAGAGUGGCGAACGGGUGAGUAACACGUAGGUGAUCUACCCUCAAGAUUGGGACAACCCAGGGAAACUUGGGCUAAUACCGGAUGAAAGCAGCAGUGAUGUUGUUUGAAAGGUGGCGUAAGCUGCCGUUUGGGGAUGAGCCUGCGCUCUAUUAGUUAGUUGGCGGGGUAAAGGCCCACCAAGGCGAUGAUAGAUAGGCGGCCUUAACGGGUGGUCGCCCACACUGGGAUUGAGAUACGGCCCAGACUCCUACGGGAGGCAGCAGUCGAGAAUAGUCUACAAUGGCCGAAAGGCUGAUAGUGCGACGCCGCGUGAACGAAGAAGCCCUUCGGGGUGUAAAGUUCUUUUAUAUGUGAGCAGUGCUUUCUAUGUGAACAGCAUGGGGAGAGAGAUAUUAGCAUAUGAAUAAGCAACGGCUAACUCCGUG